rnacentral:rRNA from 1 species
GACGAACGCUGGCGGCGUGCUUAACACAUGCAAGUCGAACGGAAAGGCCCUGCUUUUGUGGGGUGCUCGAGUGGCGAACGGGUGAGUAACACGUGAGUAACCUGCCCUUGACUUUGGGAUAACUUCAUGAAACUGGGGCUCAUACCGGAUAGGAGCUCCUGCUGCAUGGUGGGGGUUGGAAAGUUUCGGCGGUUGGGGAUGGACUCGCGGCUUAUCAGCUUGUUGGUGGGGUAGUGGCUUACCAAGGCUUUGACGGGUAGCCGGCCUGAGAGGGUGACCGGCCAAAUUGGGACUGAGAUACGGCCCAGACUCCUACGGGAGGCAGCAGUGGGGAAUAUUGCACAAUGGGCGGAAGCCUGAUGCAGCAACGCCGCGUGCGGGAUGACGGCCUUCGGGUUGUAAACCGCUUUCGCCUGUGACGAAGCGUGAGUGACGGUAAUGGGUAAAGAAGCACCGGCUAACUACGUG